UGUGUGUGUUUGGUGGCGGCAAACAUCUGCAUUUUUCCACUGUCCACCCAUUAUUUUCCGCCCUUUCGAACGAAGCUGUUGUGCCCGCGCAUGAACCACAUCACCGCGAUUGACAAGACGUAAAUAUUUGCCGUGCCAACUAAAACGUUACGUUACGCUUUUGGCCCGCUUUCCGGUGUCCGUCCAGGCCGCCGUUCUGGCCAUUUGAGCAGCAACGACGCCGACAACGACGCCGACGCCACGCCACACGGGAAAUGCGCCGUAGCAAAUAAUUACGCUUCAAUUGCUGCUCGACCCUCAAGGAUUUCGGUUUGAUUGCUCCUUGAGCUCCAUAAAAAAUAGAAAGCAAAACAAGAAACGAAAAAAAAAAAACUAAAACGGUCUGUCGCGUCUGACUUAAAGUGUUAACAGGCGAAGUUUAGGUAUUAAAGUGAGAUAAGCAAGUUGCAGAGUUCACUGAGAGAAUUUCUUCUAAGAUUGCUCU